GACGAACGCUGGCGGCGUGCUUAACACAUGCAAGUCGAACGGAAAGGCCCUGCUUUUGUGGGGUGCUCGAGUGGCGAACGGGUGAGUAACACGUGAGUAACCUGCCCUUGACUUUGGGAUAACUUCAGGAAACUGGGGCUAAUACCGGAUAGGAGCUCCUGCUGCAUGGUGGGGGUUGGAAAGUUUCGGCGGUUGGGGAUGGACUCGCGGCUUAUCAGCUUGUUGGUGGGGUAGUGGCUUACCAAGGCUUUGACGGGUAGCCGGCCUGAGAGGGUGACCGGCGACAAUGGGACUGCGAGACGGACCAGACUCCUACGGUAGGCAGCAGUGGGGAAUAUUGCACAGUGAGCGGGAGCCUGAUGCAGCGGCGCCGCGUGCGGAAUGACGUCCUUCUGGUUGUAAACCGCUUUCGCCUGUGGCGAAGCGGUAGUGACGGUAAUGAGUAAAGAAGCACCGGCUAACUACGUG
rnacentral:rRNA from 1 species